rnacentral:rRNA from 1 species
CUCGUAGGCGGUUUGUCACGUCGUCUGUGAAAUCCUAGGGCUUAACCCUGGACGUGCAGGCGAUACGGGCUGACUUGAGUACUACAGGGGAGACUGGAAUUUCUGGUGUAGCGGUGGAAUGCACAGAUAUCAGGAAGAACACCGAUGGCGAAGGCAGGUCUCUGGGUAGUAACUGACGCUGAGGAGCGAGAGCAUGGGUAGCGAACA